CUUGCAGACAAAAAAGAUAUCCAUGAAAGUCCAGAUAUAAUAAAUAAAUUAACCACUAAAAACUGUUGGCUAUUAAAGCAAAUUGAAAGAAUGGCAGAAAGACUUAACCUUGCAAAAUUACAGAGCUCGAGGAGACGUGGGAACGUUGCCGAUGAAAUCAUUAAAAACUGAAACCGAAGAGACAUUGAUUUUCGAGUCCACCACCGCUCCACCCGCUGAUUGUUCUUUGAUGUUUGCAUAUCCUAGCAGAGUCCUACAUGGUUUGGGAAACACAGGAAAGCAGCAAAGCAACCGAUUAAAAAAAAAAAAAAAAGUGUUUAGUGCCCCCCUUACCCCCUAUGCACAAAAAGUUAAAAAGUUCCCACAGAAACUGCUUGUGGUUUCUUGUCCCUAAAAUAUUGUCUGUAAUUCCUUUGAAAAACCUGAAAGAUAUUGUUUAGUAGUUCACCCGUAUUUGAGCAAAUAAAUGCACUAAUAACUACGUCUUCUUUUUUUUUUCUCUCUUUAAAGUGAUUCAUUUACUUUGGUGGUGAGGACAAAUAAAAACACAAGAAAAAAAAAGCCAUGUGAAAGACAAUUAUUACCGUGUACUCAGAUUUUCAUGCAUACAGUAUUGAAUCCUCGAGAUAAAGAAAACUGUUGUAAAGUGUAAAUGUCACAAUCUUACCGAGUUCGUAGCUUAACUGACUGAGGUAAAGUUGCCUGUUUCCUGAAGUAGAGCACACAUGCCUCUGUUUUGUGUAGUUUUUUUUUUUCUUUUUUGGACAAGGACAAUAACAGCGUUUGGGUUCAAAUCCCUUUCAAGUCAAUCAACUCUGUUAAUUCAGCCAAUUGUUUGAGGAGACUGUGAGCCAACAGAGGAAGCAUUUUAGGAACAGAAAGGAUGACGAAAACUAAAUCUGUAACCGCGUGAAAAACCACUGAAACAGAGAAGGAUGUUUUCUUUUUAGAAACUUAACAGAGCUUUAAUGUAAAGAUUGGUCUUCAAGGGGAAAUCCACAAGAACAGAAGAUAUUAGUGUUUAAUUUAUGUUUUAUGCUGUUUGACAAGUCUGUGGAGAUCCUGUCUGCUUUAUCUGAUAUCACAGAAAAAGGAUAUAAUGAUUCUGGCUGUAUAAGUUCUAAGCCACCAUUCAAGAAACAUUUCUGAUCAAAAACUUUGUUAGUUUCGCAUAAUUUCGUAUAAAUAUUGAAAUGCUAGCUGCUGUUUCACUGUAAAUGCCUGCGCUGUUUGGUGCUAAUGACAUAGGAAAUAAGAGUUAUUUGCUUCUAUCUCUUCAUUAUUUCAUGCCUAACUCAUCAAAACACGUGAAAAAGUUAACUUGAAAGACGAGUAAAAAUUCUUCAUCAGACAGAACUUGAGCCACGUUGAUUGUCUUCAUUUUACAGGUCAGUAGAAAUGAGAUUAAUAUCUCUUGAUGAAACAGUAGUUUAAUUUAGACCUGUCGACUUGUCUAAAUGUAAGAACACAUUCAAAAAUUGAACUGUUAAAUAUUGAAAAAUAUUGCGUGUUUUAGUCACUUUCAAUAGUAGUUAUGCGUUGCUCAGGUCGUGGUUUUAAAACUGUUUAUUCUGACACAACCUAUACAUAAUCUUAUUUUCAUUUUCUUUAUGAAAAUACUGCCAAAUUGAGUUGGUUUUAUCAGAUACCAUCUUUUUUACUGCCAUGUCAUCAUAAAUGACAGUUGACCUGUGUAGCAACAUCUUACAGAAGUAAGUCGUAAUUUGGACAAACAGCCUUUUCUGUACAGGGGAUGUUGCUGUGAAACUGCCUCUGGGAAGCAGUCUGCAGUUGUGGCCGACGUUGUGGCUGAAAGGGAAAUACUUAAAACUCAAACUGAUACAGUUUUUAAAAAUGGAUUAAUCAUGUAGUUACAAAUUCACCUGCUGCUUCUUGUUCUAUAGUGCUUCACUCUUCUAUUUUUACUUAUUCAAAUCUUCAUUUGAAUAAAUACAUCUCAUAAAAGAGAUCAGAAAUCUCUUUUACACAGGAGACAUGACCUAAGUAAGCAGCUAAAGUCACAUUAUUAAAGUGCAACAUGUACAACAUAUGUUAACCAGCUGUGUACAUUAAUACAAUACUGGGCUGAUUACUAGUUUCUACGUGAGCAGCAAUAUUUAGUUGUUUGUACUAAUUACACACAUCAGUCAUGGGAUUUGGGUACAAAUGUGUGUGAAAAGUGCAGGUAAGCAUUAAAAGGAAAUUAAAUGAAGCACCUUGGAUUCUUACUGAUUGUAAGAAUCCAAAUUAAGAGUUUUUGUCCAUCUUUCAAUGAAACUGGUUUUCACUUCCAUCAUAUAUAACUUCCUAGUUUUACCUGAUUUCCUUCCUCUCCAUUUUCCAUAAACUGUGAAGCUUUAUUUUCCAUAAACUGUGAUAACAAAGAACUUAGAGCACUUUUAGGAAAUAAAGAACAGUACUGCAGUGACUCCUCCAUUCAUGAAGCUGCUGUUAAACAGUGUUUCUGAUAUAAAGAAAGUUUGAUUUUGGAGAUACUGAUUGACUAUAAGCAUUGUGAACAAAAUAAUGUAGUUCAACAGCAUUAAAAACUAAACCAUAAAGAGGUGAUGGUCAUUUUGGAGGAUUUAAACAAACUAAACAUUAGAAGCUUCAUGAAAGGAGGAUUUACUGGCCAAAGAAACACUAGUUCAGAAAUGCCACAUAUAUUUGAGAAUUAAUUAAUUCAUGUCUUUAAAAAACAUUAAAAUGUUUGUUUAUAUCAGUCAUGACAUUAUUGUUGUUGGAUUUUUAACAACUAAUUAUUGAUGCUAGAAUCAAAAAUUAAAUAUGAGAUUGGCUGUUGUCGAAGUUUUCAUUUACUUCUUCUACAUUUCGGUCCACUGUGUUGGGGAUAAUACCUUCUACGCUGUGUUUUAAUGUGGAUUCUCCCUUUAACAUUUGGCUCUGCUGGAUUCCCAUCACGUCUCCCAUUUUAAUUCCAUCCUUCAGUGUUUGAGGCUCUUUGGUUCACAGACUGAAUUGAUGUCAUUGAAACUGAAUGGACCCAAACACCUGCAAACAUGGAAAUUAUCACCAUUUUCAAAAGAACUCAUAAUAGCAUCAUAACAGCAUAAUGGAUUCAGUUUCCAUUACAUGUUGUUAACUAACAAAUCACUUGGAAAAAAUACAAAAAGUUAAAACAUUGAUGUGGAAUUCAUUCCAGCACUGUUUUUUUUGGUUUUCUUUUUUUUUAUUUGAAACAAACCUAUAAACAGAAUGGCACUAAUCUGAGUUGUCUAUUCACAAAAAUCUGUGGUUUUUAAAAACCUUUAGAACAGCGACGUGUUCUCGUCGUUGGGUUUGAGCCGAGGACGUUCCCUUGAGAAAAAUGUCUGAUGGUUCCUUUAUUAUUCUUAAAAAUGUUAUUUUGAUAAUGAGGAACCACAACAGGUCUUGCCUCUUCUUCCUUUAAACAAAUGUUGAUUUUGUAAGAAAAUUGACAAAAAAGCCCAGUCAUUCUCACCAAAAUAAAAGCCUCGUUGUUUCACGGAGCAGCGCUGGAACUUACACUCGUGGUGCUUGGUAAAAGGCAUUUGUUUUCCUGUAUGGCAAGUUUGGUCCCCACAGUUCAUCACCAGAACAAACUAAAUCCUUGAGCUCAGUGAUUCUCAGCUGCAUCACAACCCAAAGUUCGUUUUCGAAGGCACAACCCUGCCGUAUGACGACACGUUAUCUGUCUGAGCUUCUUGCGGGCGUCUUUGGGUCCCGAGCUGCCAGCUGAGAAGCACUGACAUACAGCAUCCUCCACCUGAUCUGCGCAGUGGCGGAAUCAAAUCUGUG
ensembl:lncRNA